rnacentral:piRNA from 1 species
UAUUAGAUUUGAGGCUUUUUCUGUUUGC